UUUUGAAACCUGUCCCUCCAAUUUUUUCGACAUCAAUCACCUUUUCCCUCCAAUACUUUUUAGGUCUUCAUUGUAUAUCACGAAAUUAUUUCAGUAGACACUGUAAAGGCUCUCAUUUUCCUGCUGCCCAACUAAUCUCUGUCUCGCCAUCACCAGCAACCAUCCUAGGUAACUUCAUUGUCUCUCUCUUUCUCUCUCGAUACUCUCUAUAUACCUAUUUUCACAGAUGGGGGAUAGCCUAUCCACAAUGAAUUGAGACUUGAGAGAUGUUUCUUGCAAAAAAUAAAAAUAUUUUUUCAGUUAUGAAGCCCUUAUCUUGAGGUUCAUGAUGGAGAACGAAAUAUGCGAAUUGAUAUCAUACAUGUAAUUUUAUUAUCGCCAUAUUAAAUGCUAAACUCUUGCAAUUGAAAUCUGAUUAUUGUUCUUCGUACGGUGGUUAAUCUUCUUGUGCUUUUGCAUUCAUGUGUUUGAUUUAAUGAUAUUUUUAUUUGCUUCCAUGGUUAUUUUACUUCCGAUAUUGCGAAAAUAUAUUUUGUAAUUUAGGUGUUCGAUAAAAUGCUUUUGUAGACUUUCUAACUCUUGCCUUCCAUUUUUAUGUUGAUUUUAAGUGUUUUGUAAAUCUUUUAUUAUUUAAUAUUGUUUGAUAGUUGAACAUUUUUCCAAUAUCAAGUGCUUCAAAUGAUGUGGAGGUGAUAGGAGCUAUAAAAUUGGCUAAAAGUAUUAAAACUUGGAUAUUUCCUAUUACUCCUAUUUUAAUUGUCCAUCUGUCUCUUCUAGCUGCAUUGCUUUUGAGUCUUUUGGGUUAAUGUAUUUGAUCAUAAUUUCAUGUUGUUGGUAGGUAAGAAUGCAAAUUAGUUCUUUUUCAUCAAUCUAAAAAGCAUAUUCACACUUUCCUUCUUGGUCUUCUUACGAUUGGUUUUCGUCUUUUAGCUAAUUAUUUAUUUAUUUAUCUUACAUUUUCAUCAAUUCUACAGAAUACAAUGACAAUUCUUGGGGCCAAAGUUAUCAGAAGAUAGGAUAAUAAGAAGAACAUUGACGAUGAUGCAUUAGAUGUUGUUGAGAAUGAUAUUUCAAUGGGUAUCUAGUUUGAUUGAGGUCAUCGAUUUUAAUUAUAGUUAUUUUUUUUAUAUUUAAAAUUUCCUUGCCAUAUGGAGUGUAUAUGUGGAUUAGAAGAUUGUUAUGGUUUAAUUUAGUACUUAUCAUACACACACACACACACACACAUAUAUAUAUAUAUAUAUAUAUAUAUAGAGAGAGAGAGAGAGAGAGAGAGAGAGAGAGAGUACUAACGUUAUUUGCCUCUGAUAGCUCAAUCAUUAAGUGAGUAGUUCCAUUAUUUGUUAUGCCNN
rnacentral:lncRNA from 1 species